rnacentral:lncRNA from 1 species
GCCCCGUAGCCAGCUCACUUGGUGGAAGAUGUUCAGGAGAGCAAGAUGUUCUUGACCCACAUUUCGAGGGUCCUGCUUCAGGAAUGGAAGGAGUGACAGCCUUUUCCAAUGAUGCCUAUGUAGGCUCAUUGCUCACCCCAGACGCCUCUGGCCAUUUACCAGGCCAGGUUUUACCAGUGAUCCCAUCUGGGCCACAUCUGCACAUUGUCCCUGUCUGGCUGGAGAUUCUAGAGCCCAUCAAGGCACAGGCAUAUGCUUCUGCUCCAUACACAGCAAUACAGGAAAUUCCAGUGCUAGCUGUUGAGCUAGUGCCAGCACCAGGGGAAGAGCUCCCUCCAGGGACAGCGCUGGAACUAGAGGCAGCUCCAGAGCCUUCCUGCCCCUGCCCUGGUACAGCAAAGGACUAGCUCAAAGAGGAGCUGCCUGACAUCAUGGAACUUGCUGUAGCCACUGGCCUCAGUCCUGGAGCUGAAAGCAUGGGUGGAGCUAGCGGUGACAGAGUGGGGUGGUCAGCAGAGCCCCAGCCAGCAGCUCCCAUGCUGCUCCCAGUCGUGGGCACGGUGGGAGCCAUGGAGACAGAGACCAGGGUGUGUAGCCUGGGUUUCUCUAUCUCGCUGGAGAGAGGCUUCUCUCAUUCAGCAGAGUUGCAGCCCUGCUGCGCAGGACCUGUUCAUUAUGCUGGUGCUGGGGAUGUAUAUAUGCUGGCAGGAGGUGAUUGAGAGCAGGAAAAGGAGCCUGCGAGAAGGGGUUCCAGCAGCUCCUCCUGUUCCCAGAGGUGGCCUCCUCCUCCAGGCAUGGAGGUCUGCCCGCAACCGGGCAUCUGGGCUGUUUGCCCCUGAUCUGCUGCCAGGGACAGGAUCUUCUUAACAGGCAGGCAGGGGUUGAGGGGACCAGGGGGCGGCUGCAAAGUGCACAGGAACCAAAGCUUCCAAACUCAGCACUUGUGUCCCGGGGUUUCUAUGCUGCCACCUGCCUUAGGAUUUGUUCAUAGUAUUAGAAGUACAAGUUUAUAGCCAGGCGUGGUGGCGGGCACCUGUAGUCCCAGCUACUCAGGAGGCUGAGGCAGGAGAAUGGCUUAAACCCUGGAGGCUGAGCUUGCAGGGAGCCAAGAUCGCACCACUGAACUCCAGGCUGGGCGACAGAGCGAGACUGUGUCUCAAAAAAAAAAAAAAAAAGAAUUACAAAUUUAUACAAUGAUGUUUAAAUAAAGCUUGACUUUUUGAAACUUCAUGCCUUCUUUAACUCCUUAGUGUUUGAUGGUGUUUUUGAGGCUAUCCUGAAAAUCUCUGAUAGUUAUGUCUUUUUGUUGUGGUUGUUUGUGUGAUUGAAUUACCAUCAAAUCAAC